UGGGGAAUAUUGGACAAUGGGCGAAAGCCUGAUCCAGCCAUGCCGCGUGUGUGAAGAAGGUCUUCGGAUUGUAAAGCACUUUAAGUUGGGAGGAAGGGCAUUAACCUAAUACGUUAGUGUUUUGACGUUACCGACAGAAUAAGCACCGGCUAACUCUGUGCCAGCAGCCGCGGUAAUACAGAGGGUGCAAGCGUUAAUCGGAAUUACUGGGCGUAAAGCGCGCGUAGGUGGUUUGUUAAGUUGGAUGUGAAAGCCCCGGGCUCAACCUGGGAACUGCAUCCAAAACUGGCAAGCUAGAGUACGGUAGAGGGUGGUGGAAUUGCCUGUGUAGCGGUGAAAUGCGUAGAUAUAAGAAGGAACACCAGUGGCGAAGGCGACCACCUGGACUGAUACUGACACUGAGGUGCGAAAGCGUGGGGAGCAAACA
rnacentral:rRNA from 1 species